GAGCAAUCUGCCCUUCUCAUCGGAAUAAGCGUUGGAAACGACGUCUAAUGCCGAAUACGACCUCCUUUCGCAUGAUCGGAGGUGGAAAGCUCCGGCGGAGAAGGAUGAGCUCGCGGCCUAUCAGCUAGUUGGUGUGGGUAAUGGCCCACCAAGGCGACGACGGGUAGCCGGCCUGAGAGGGUGACCGGCCACACUGGGACUGAGACACGGCCCAGACUCCUACGGGAGCAG
rnacentral:rRNA from 1 species